AGCUUGUCCCGUUGCCUUUGGCUGAAGGCGCAGCUGAGGUCUGUGGAAAGCUGUCUGGCGACUAGGAACUGCGGGUUUUUCAUGGGGCCGUUAUGCAGAAUUAACAUUCAUGACGUGCAGAAGUGGAGACGGUGUUUGGGGUGCGCUGGAUGCUUGUAUUUUGUUCAAACUAUCUGUCAAGACAUUGUUUCAAGCGGAGAUCACUGAAGACUUGCGUUAUGAGGACACCUAACAUUUGGAGCGGGCACAUAUAGCUCGAAAAACAAGGAGAAGACAUGCAUUUCUGGGCAGCCUAAUAAUAAUGACAGCUUUCUAAAUGCGUCCAAUUUUCGAACAGCCAGGAACAAUGAGCAGUGGUUCUAGCAACUUUCUGCUCGUUCCUAUACCGGAGUACCCUGUAUUAGACUGUGUGCCCAACAAAAACGUUAAAAUAGUUGUUCUUGGAGCAAGCAACGUCGGAAAAACAGCUCUGAUUGUAAGAUUUCUUACCAAGAGAUUCAUAGGAGACUAUGAAGCCAACACAGGAGCCUUGUAUUCAAGGAAGAUUCAUUUGGAUGGGGAGCAAGUUUCUUUACAAGUGCAGGACACGCCAUGUGUCUCAAUACAGGAUGAUGCAGAGGGUCUUUAUUGUCAAGAGCAGAUCAACCGCUCCAUAUACUGGGCAGAUGGGUAUGUGCUUGUCUUCUCCAUCACUGACCUCAAAAGCUACCACACCAUCCAGCCACUCUACCAACAUGUGCGACGAAUCCACCCCAGUGGCAACAUACCUGUCAUCAUUGUGGGCAACAAAAGCGACUUGCUGCGUGCCCGGCAGGUCCCGGAUCACGAAGGUAAGGCGCUUGCUGAUGAAUUGGGAGGGCCAUACUUUGAGGCUUCGGCCAGGGAGAACCAUGAGAGCGUCCAGGCUGCUUUUCUGCAUCUAUGUCACGAGGUGAGCCGAGCACUGGGAGGAGGAAAUGGGGAGAAGAGGAAAGGAGGACUACACCUUGCCAGACCAAAGAGCCCGAACAUGCAAGAGUUGAAGAGAAGGUUCCGGCAAGUUCUGUCAUCCAAAGUGAAAUCAGCUACUGCACUGUGAUGAUGAUUAUGAUAAAUGUGACUGCAGAGAAUUCAGAAAGUUUUCAGAAUAACAACUUGCUGUUGCAAAAGCGUUCAAGAUUGUGAAACACAUGGAACAACAUUAAAACUUGCCAGCUGUUUUUCCAAGUAUUCAUACAAGAUGCAUGGACAGAUGAAGUUGCAUUCCUUUGCAGCAGGUCUUGGAGUCCUGGAAUGAACUAUUGGUUAUCCACUAAGUGACCUUUCACCUUUUAUAAAUUACUUUUCUUCCCGUCACCUAAUUGUCUAAUGAAAGAAUAUCAGGAUCAGAAUGGGAUCAGCCUGUUCCACUCUCCCAAAGUGAGAUACUUUGACAAAGUAAACGGCAGAUUUGUGGUACAGGUUUUUCUUAAUGGUGUAAAUUCUCCAGCUCCUUCAGGGAUGAAGGAGUGGAUCACCAGAUUACCGACGGACAGGCAGCAGCUAGUGAGACAGGGGAAAUUCACUUCCAGCACAUGUACAAUCAGCACUGGUGCCCCCAGGGAUGUGUGCUCUCCCCACUACUCUUCUCCCAGUAUACCAAUGACUGCAAUGCCAAGGACACCUGUGUCAAGCUCCUGAAGUUUGCAGACGACACUACUUUCAUCGGCCUCAUUCAAGAUGACGAUGAGUCUGUAUACAGAAGGGAGGUUAAACGCCUGAUUCACUGGUGCAGUCAAAACAACCUGGAGCUGAACACGCUAAAAACAGUGUAGAUGAUUGUGGACUUUAAGAGGAACACCCCGACAUUAACCCUGCUCAAUAUUCUAAACAGCACUGUGGCAGCAGUGGAGUCAUUCAGGUUCCUGGGCACUACCAUCUCACAGGACCUGAAGUGGGACACCCACAUUGACUCCACUGUGAAAAAGGCCCAGCAGAGGUUGUACUUCCUUCGCCAGCUGAGGAAGUUCAACCUGCCACAGGCGCUGCUGAUACAGUUCUACUCAGCAGUCAUUGAGUCUGUCUUCUGGACUUCAGUAACUGUCUGGUUUGGUUCAGCUACGAAAUCGGAUAUCAGAAGACUACAAAGGACAGCUCAGACUGCUGAGAGGAUUAUUGGUUGCCCCCUGACCUCCCUUCAAGAAUUGUACACUUCCAGAGUGAGGAAAAGGGCUGGAAAAAUCACUCUGGACCCCACUCACCCUGCCCACUACCUUUUUGAACAGUUGCCUUCUGGACGGCGCUGCAGAGCACUGAGCACCAGAACCAUCAGACACAGGAACAGUCUUUUCCCUCAGGCUUUCCAUCUCAUGAAUAGCUAAAACUGCCCCAUUGAGCAAUAAUUAUGUGCAAUACACAGCUUAGUCUAUUUAUAUUUAUCCAACAUACCAUACCCCUUCUGCCAUACAUUCCCUUGCAUCUGGAUAUAUAUAUAUAUAUAUAUAUAUAUAUAUAUAUAUAUAUAUAUAUAUAUAUACAGUGUAUAUAAUCUUAUUGUGUAUUUCUAUAUAUACUUCUAUUUUCUAUUCACUUUUUAUUUGUAGUCUAUUUUUUUUAAUUACUAUCUCUUGUUGCUGUAUUGUUUGUGCACUGAAAGCUUCUGUCACCAAGACAAAUUCCUUGUAUGUGUAAGCAUACUUGGCAGUAAAGCUAAUUCUAAUUCUGAUUCUGAUUCUAGAUCUGAGCAUCACCUUCAUACCUGCAAUGUCUCCAGUCUGUCAACCGAGGUCAUUCUUUCCACAAAACAGAUAUUUUAAUCACUGUAAUUAAUUAUCUGUCUUAUUUCUUGUACAUAACUUGAGUGUAUAAAUUGUCACUUCUUUCCUGUUUUACAUGAUGUUUUGAAAGUGUUCUUGCAGCAUAAUUCGAGAAGUACUGUUUUCUGAAAAUUCAAACACAUUGUCAGUGCUUGCUGCCACUUGUAUGUAUUGCCCAGAUACUUACUAAGAUAGUACUGACUUACUAAGAUGACCAGAUUUCUAAAACAUGAAAAUUGGGGAAAUUUCUAAUUCAGCGAUAAAUAUUUAAUUGCAAUUCCCAUUACAAUUAUGUAUGAAUUGAAAUAAAAUGGGUACAUUCCAGUUUUGUCUAUAUUGUUCAUGGUAGCUAGGUACAACCAAGGUUGGUUGGUUUUCAUUCUUUGUUGAAUAAACUCAUUCUUUGUGAAACAAAAAAUUCAGAAUGUAAUAUAAUACCAAACCAAGCAAUAAAAGCAC